GACCGCGUGGCGCAAUGGAUAGCGCAUCCUGACUUCUAAUCAGGGGGUUGUGGGUUCGAGUCCCAUCGCGGUCG
rnacentral:tRNA from 1 species